AUUGAACGCUGGCGGCAGGCCUAACACAUGCAAGUCGAACGAGUGGCGGACGGGUGAGUAAUGUCUUGGAAACUGCCUGAUGGAGGGGGAUAACUACUGGAAACGGUAGCUAAUACCGCAUAACAUCAGUUGUGCCCAGAUGGGAUGAGCUUGUUGGUGGGGUAACGGCUCACCAAGGCGACGAUCCCUAGCUGGCCUGAGAGGCUGACCAGCCACACUGGAACUGAGACACGGUCCAGACUCCUACGGGAGGCAGCAGUGGGGAAUAUUGCACAAUGGGCGCAAGCCUGAUGCAGCAAUGCCGCGUGUAUGAAGAAGGCCUUCGGGUCGUAAAGUACUUUCAGCGGGGAGGCGUUACCCGCAGAAGAAGCACCGGCUAACUCCGUGCCAGCCGCCGCGGUAAUUC
rnacentral:rRNA from 1 species